rnacentral:rRNA from 1 species
GAACACGGCCAUAGUGUGCAGGAAAUACCUGUUCCCUUUCCGAACACAGAAGUCAAGCUGUACACGUCCGGCACGUUAGUCUCCAUCCAGAGGCGAAAUACGGAUGCCGCCUUCU